rnacentral:rRNA from 1 species
UACGUAGGUGACAAGCGUUGUCCGGAUUUACUGGGCGUAAAGAGCGCGCAGGCGGUCGAUCAAGUCGAGUGUGAAAGCCCCCGGCUCAACUGGGGAGGGUCAUUCGAUACUGAUCGACUCGAAGGCAGGAGAGGGUAGUGGAAUUCCCGGUGUAGUGGUGAAAUGCGUAGAUAUCAGGAGGAACACCUGCGGUGUAGACGGCUUUCUGGACCAUCACUGACGCUGAGACACGAAAGCGUGGGUAGCAAACAGG